rnacentral:lncRNA from 1 species
GCCACACGUCAUUUACAUUUGGCGGGGAGAGAGAAGUAAUAAAACCGAGAACAAAGAAAAUUCCUGAAGUGCUUGAGAGGAAAUGUCCAGAAGCCCGGACACACUGAGGGAAUGGGGGAAAACUUUUCCAUCACUGACCCUGGGACCCGGGGCUGCUGUGCUAGAACCUGUGACAAGUUAAAAAAUUCCCUGGACUGCUGUGAGAAGAGAGUGCCGUGGAGCCUAGAAGUGAGGACCACUCCCUGCGGAAAUCACUGAGAUUAAGGAAAAGGGUGAGAGAGCAGUCUCAUUUGUCUUAUAACAGUGUGGAGCUAUAAUUCACAUCCCAUACAACUCCC